GCAAACUUGGUCAUUUAGAGGAAGUAAAAGUCGUAACAAGGUUUCCGUAGGUGAACCUGCGGAAGGAUCAUUAACGAGUUAGGGUCUACUUAGGCCCGAUCUCCCAACCCCUCUGUUUACCAAACCUGUGUUGCUUCGGCGAGCCCGUCCAUCUGUGACCGCCGGAGGAUUACCGACCAGUGUCCUCUGGCCCGUGCCCGUCGACGGCCUCUAUGAUAAAACUUCUUGAUAAACUAAUGCCUUUCAAGUGGUCUAAGUCUAUUAUAUAAAUACAAAACAAAACUUUCAACAACGGAUCUCUUGGUUCUGGCAUCGAUGAAGAACGCAGC
rnacentral:misc_RNA from 1 species